rnacentral:rRNA from 1 species
UGAGGAAUAUUGGUCAAUGGGCGGGAGCCUGAGCCAGCCAAGUCGCGUGAAGGAAGAAGGAUCUAUGGUUCGUAAACUUCUUUUGCAGGGGAAUAAAGUGCAGGACGUGUCCUGUUUUGUAUGUACCCUGAGAAUAAGGAUCGGCUAACUCCGUGCCAGCAGCCGCGGUAAUACGGAGGAUCCGAGCGUUAUCCGGAUUUAUUGGGUUUAAAGGGUGCGUAGGUGGUUUGAUAAGUCAGCGGUGAAAGUUUGCAGCUUAACUGUAAAGAUGCCGUUGAAACUGUCGGACUUGAGUGUAAAUGAGGUAGGCGGAAUGCGUGGUGUAGCGGUGAAAUGCAUAGAUAUCACGCAGAACUCCGAUUGCGAAGGCAGCUUACUAAGCUACAACUGACACUGAAGCACGAAAGCGUGGGGAUCAAACA